rnacentral:rRNA from 1 species
GAUGAACGCUGGCGGCGUGCCUAAUACAUGCAAGUCGAGCGAACAGACGAGGAGCUUGCUCCUCUGACGUUAGCGGCGGACGGGUGAGUAACACGUGGAUAACCUACCUAUAAGACUGGGAUAACUUCGGGAAACCGGAGCUAAUACCGGAUAAUAUAUUGAACCGCAUGGUUCAAUAGUGAAAGACGGUUUUGCUGUCACUUAUAGAUGGAUCCGCGCCGCAUUAGCUAGUUGGUAAGGUAACGGCUUACCAAGGCAACGAUGCGUAGCCGACCUGAGAGGGUGAUCGGCCACACUGGAACUGAGACACGGUCCAGACUCCUACGGGAAGCAGCAGUAGGGAAUCUUCCGCAAUGGGCGAGAGCCUGACGGAGCAACGCCGCGUGGGUGAUGAAGGUCUUCGGGUCGUAAAACUCUGUUAUUAGGGAAGAACAAAUGUGUAAGUAACUAUGCACGUCUUGACGGUACCUAAUCAGAAAGCCACGGCUAACUACGUG